CAGCAGCCACGGGAAUACGUAGGGUGCAAGCGUUGUCCGGAAUUAUUGGGCGUAAAGAGCUCGUAGGCGGUUUGUCGCGUCUGCUGUGAAAACGCGAGGCUCAACCUCGCGCCUGCAGUGGGUACGGGCAGACUAGAGUGUGGUAGGGGAGAUUGGAAUUCCUGGUGUAGCGGUGGAAUGCGCAGAUAUCAGGAGGAACACCGAUGGCGAAGGCAGAUCUCUGGGCCAUUACUGACGCUGAGGAGCGAAAGCGUGGGGAGCGAACAGGAUUAGAUACCCCUGUAGUCCCUGUCUCUUAUAC
rnacentral:rRNA from 1 species